UAGGGAAUCUUCGGCAAUGGGGGCAACCCUGACCGAGCAACGCCGCGCGAGUGAAGAAGGUUUUCGGAUCGUAAAGCUCUGUUGUAAGAGAAGAACGUGUGUGAGAGUGGAAAGUUCACACAGUGACGGUAACUUACCAGAAAGGGACGGCUAACUACGUGCCAGCAGCCGCGGUAAUACGUAGGUCCCGAGCGUUGUCCGGAUUUAUUGGGCGUAAAUCGAGCGCAGGCGGUUUAAUAAGUCUGAAGUUAAAGGCAGUGGCUUAACCGUUGGUCGCUUUGGAAACUGUUAAACUUGAGUGCAGAAGGGGAGGGUGAAGUUCCAUGUGUAGCGGUGAGAUGCGUAGAUAUAUGGAGGAACACCGGUGGCGAAAGCGGCUCUCUGGUCGGUAACUGACGCUGAGGCUCGAAAGCGUGGGGAGCAAACAGG
rnacentral:rRNA from 1 species